CCUACGGGAGGCAGCAGUAGGGAAUUUUCCGCAAUGGGCGAAAGCCUGACGGAGCAAUACCGCGUGAGGGAUGACGGCCUGUGGGUUGUAAACCUCUUUUCUCAAGGAAGAAGUUCUGACGGUACUUGAGGAAUAAGCAUCGGCUAACUCUGUGCCAGCAGCCGCGGUAAUACAGAGGAUGCAAGCGUUAUCCGGAAUCACUGGGCAUAAAGCGUCUGUAGGUUGUUUAGUAAGUCUGCUGUUAAAGACUGGGGCUUAACCCCAGAAAAGCAGUGGAAACUGCUAGACUCGAGUGUGGUAGAGGUAGAGGGAAUUCCUAGUGUAGCGGUGAAAUGCGUAGAUAUUAGGAAGAACACCAAUGGCGAAGGCACUCUACUGGGCCAUAACUGACACUGAGAGACGACAGCUAGGGGAGCAAACGGGAUUAGAUACCCCGGUAGUCCUAGCCGUAAACGAUGGAUACUAGAUGUUGCACGUAUUAACCCGUGCAGUAUCGUAGNUAGAGUAGUAUCCGCCGUCGAGUACGCUCGCAGAGAGAACUACAAUAGAAGUUAGUACGGCGUGAGACGUCGCCGAACGGACGACCGACGAGGGAGGUUAGG
rnacentral:rRNA from 1 species